CGGGGCGUAGCGCAGUCCGGUAGCGCGCUUGCUUUGGGAGCAAGAGGUCAUGGGUUCGAAUCCCGUCGCCCCGA
rnacentral:tRNA from 1 species